rnacentral:rRNA from 1 species
UACGGAAGGCAACAGUGGGGAAUAUUGCACAAUGGGCGCAAGCCUGAUGCAGCCAUGCCGCGUGUAUGAAGAAGGCCUUCGGGUUGUAAAGUACUUUUCAGUCGUGAGGAAGGUGUUAAGGUUAAUAACCUUAGCAAUUGACGUUAGCGACAGAAGAAGCACCGGCUAACUCCGUGCCAGCAGCCGCGGUAAUACGGAGGGUGCGAGCGUUAAUCGGAAUUACUGGGCGUAAAGGGCACGCAGGCGGUUAAUUAAGUUGGAUGUGAAAUCCCCGGGCUUAACCUGGGAAUGGCAUUCAAGACUGGUUAGCUAGAGUCUUGUAGAGGGGGUAGAAUUCCAUGUGUAGCGGUGAAAUGCGUAGAGAUGUGGAGGAAUACCGGUGGCGAAGGCGGCCCCUGGACAAAGACUGACGCUCAUGUGCGAAAGCGUGGGGAGCAAACGAGGGAUUAGAUACC